AGGCAUGAAGAAGGAAAAAAACCACUUGUUUUUACAAGAAAAUCUGUUCCUUCUUCUAUAAUCCCAACUGUCCCAAGCUGAAUCACUAGGCAUUGGAUACACAGUGUGCUAUCGGAGGCUGAGUCAUCCCUGCUGCAAAUCGAAACUGUGGAUCUGAAAAGAAUUUUCUCAUCUAAACCAGAGCUUCAGUCUCUCAGAAAGCAAUGAAGAGAAAAGCUGAAGUCAGUGAUUAGGAGUGUCUGUGUAAGUAAAAGCAACAGGCAAUUACUGAGUGUGGUGUGAGAGGCACGGAAAGAUUGGGAAUUCAGCAAGAAGAGGAAUUGAAGUCAAACCUCACCUACUUCCCAGAGUCUUCUGGAUUUUCUGAAUGGUUAGAAGCUUCAGUAUCUGAGUGAUGUCAGCAGGAUGGCUGAAUACAGACACCUGGUGUUCAUCCCCUCCUCCACAGGAAAGGACUCAGGCAACAAAUAAACAGCUAAGAUUUUACUAGAGUAUGAAAGGGAGAGCACUGGAGUGCAGUGCGGGGAUGGAGAUGCAGCUGUGGUGGCUGGAAGUACAGGAGGGCAGCUGGAGGCACCUGGCCUCUGAAGCCUGUCUUCUUCAUCUGGGUGAGAUCUGCUGGAGUCAGGAAGGACUUCCUGCUGCAAGGAUAAAGGUAAGCAGAAGAUCCCCACCAGUGCCCACUGCCAUCACAAACACCUACAGUCCUUAUAGCAGGUGAAUCCAGCAGUCCUCACAAGUCCUGAGACAGGUUUGGAGUCUUGCUGGGAAUUCACACAGUUGCAUUGUCCCAGAUUAGGAGAACAAAGUGUGGACCCCCA